UACGUAGGGGGCAAGCGUUGUCCGGAUUCAUUGGGCGUAAAGAGCGUGUAGGCGGCCAGGUAGGUCGGUUGUGAAAACUGGAGGCUCAACCUUCAGAGGUCGACCGAAACCAUCUGGCUAGAGUCCGGGAGAGGAGAGUGGAAUUCCUGGUGUAGCGGUGAAAUGCGCAGAUAUCAGGAAGAACACCCGUUGCGAAAGCGGCUCGCUGGAACGGUACUGACGCUGAGACGCGAAAGCGUGGGGAGCGAACAGG
rnacentral:rRNA from 1 species